ensembl:lncRNA
AGACAAUGGAAAGCUUUUUCAGACAGUCUAUGUUUUAGACCUGUUUUAUGACUCCAGUGGCGGAUGUAUGUAACAGCAGCAUACUGAAUGAAGAGGAAAUGCUCUAUCGUUUGCAAUAAUCGCCAAGACACGAUCUGCGAUAAUGGCUACCAAUCACUCUUGUCUACCCUGCACUUUUGUUGCGAUAUCUGGAGACAACUUCUAUUUUCAAGUUAACGACGAUGAAACAGAUUUGCAGUGUGAUUCAUAUCAAAUAGCCACAACAUCCAAGGCCAAGCAUUGUCUCCUAGUCCAAGACAACUGCUUUCUCUCAGUUACUGGAGAACAGUGUCACUUUGUGCAUUUAAACAGGGAGGAAGGAGGACCUGACUGUCAGUUCAUCGUUCAACCGUUCAACGAGACCCCGGACUCCCCCCACUCUGAGGCUAGAGGAAGGGCCGUCACCCUGGCUGUUAGGGAGGAGAGCAAGUACAAGGUGGUGUCCUGUCGGGAGGGCAGCAACGACAUCAAGGUGGAGAUCAUGAAUAAACUUCCAGAGACAGUCGGCGACACUGACUGCUGGUUCUUGUUCUACAUGAAGGACUGUAUUGGGAGGAGUGGGCACUACCUGUUCGUGUCCGCUGCCAAGCCGAAAUUCGCCCUGGCCAUCGAACCGGAACAAGGGACUACCCGAAUAAACAAACUAGUGUUGCGACAAUUAGAUGAUGAGGUGGACGAGGGCUGCCACAUUGCAGUGCUGAGCCUACGGUGGUGGACUGGUGUCCUGGUCACGGUGUCCCUUUUGUAUUGUGUUUGCAUUUGGUUUAUUUUUCAUUUGUUUUACGUGUGGUGUUCCUGGGACCCCCUUUCCUUUGGAUGCAGGUGUUCACAGUAGGUCUCAGCACUGAUUGGAUCUCAGCACCCAAUUUCCCUCCUUAGUGAGUAAUUCUCUAGUUUUAAGAACAGACAUUUUGUAUAAAUAAAAGUAUUUUUGUAUGAUUGAACAGAUCGUCUCUGCCUCAUUGCAUAACGGAC